UACAGAGGUCUCAAGCGUUGUUCGGAUUCAUUGGGCGUAAAGGGUGCAUAGGUGGCGAGGUAAGUCAGGUGUGAAAUCUCGAGGCUCAACUUCGAAACUGCACUUGAUACUGCCCUGCUAGAGUACUGGAGAGGAGAUUGGAAUUUACGGUGUAGCAGUGAAAUGCGUAGAUAUCGUAAGGAAGACCAGUGGCGAAGGCGGGUCUCUGGACAGUUCCUGACGCUGAGGCACGAAGGCCAGGGGAGCAAACGGG
rnacentral:rRNA from 1 species